GGGGUGUGUGUGUGUGUGUGUGUGUGUGUGUGUGUGUGUGUGUGUGUUUCACUCCUGGAUUAGCCUGCAGGUGCGCGCGCACACACACAC
rnacentral:miRNA from 1 species